rnacentral:rRNA from 1 species
AGGAAGGCSGGAGGCACGCAAAUUACCCACUCUCGGCACGAGGAGGUAGUGACAAAAAAUAACGAUACGGGACUCUUUUGAGGCCCCGUAAUCGGAAUGAGUACACUUUAAAUCCUUUAACAAGGAUCCAUUGAAGGGCAAGUCUGGUGCCAGCAGCCGCGGUAAUUCCAGCUUCAAUAGCGUAUAUUAAAGUUGUUGCGGUUAAAAAGCUCGUAGUUGGUUCUGCGUGCUACGCUGUCGGUUCGCCGCCUGCCGGUGUAACUGGCAUGUCGUGGCAUGUCCUGUCGGUGGCGUGCGGGAGCCUUGCCAGGUGUCGGCCCUUGCCAAAAGCUCGGUGUCCGAAGGCCGGAGGUCCAACCCGUGCGCCUACUCUAUCCUACCUAGGUGCUCUUUACCGAGUGUCGAGGUAGGCCGACACGUUUACUUUGAACAAAUUAGAGUGCUCAAAGCAGGCUGAAAUCUCUGCCUGAAUAGUGGUGCAUGGAAUAAUAAAACAGGACCUUGGUUCUAUUUUGUUGGUUCUUAGGAACACAAGGUAAUGAUCAAUACGGACAGGCGGGGGCAUUCGUAUUGCGACGUUAGAGGUGAAAUUCUUGGAUCGUCGCAAGACGCACAAGAGCGAAAGCAUUUGCCAAGUAUGUCUUGAUUGAUCAAGAACGAAAGUUAGAGGUUCGAAGGCGAUCAGAUACCGCCCUAGUUCUAACCAUAAACGAUGCCAGCCAGCGAUCCGCCGAUGUUCCUCCGAUGACUCGGCGGGGAGCUUCUUCCCGGGAAACCAAAGCUUUUGGGUUCCGGGGGAAGUAUGGUUGCAAAGCUGAAACUUAAAGGAAUUGACGGAAGGGCACCACCAGGAGUGGAGCCUGCGGCUUAAUUUGACUCAACACGGGAAACCUCACCAGGCCAGGACAUUGGAAGGAUUGACAGAUUGAUAGCUCUUUCUUGAUUCAGUGGGUAGUGGUGCAUGGCCGUUCUUAGUUGGUGGAUCGAUUUGUCUGGUUAAUUCCGAUAACGAACGAGACUCUAGCCUAUUAACUAGGCGAUUACCGGUGUCCCCGCCACCGGCGACACUCAUUCUUCUUAAGGGGACAGGCGGCUUAUAGCCGCACGAGAUUGAGCAAUAACAGGUCUGUGAUGCCCUUAGAUGUCCUGGGCCGCACGCGCGCUACACUGAAGGAAUCAGCGUGUGCCUCCCUGGCCGAAAGGCCCGGGUAAUCCGCUGAACCUCCUGCGUGCUAGGAAUUGGGGCUUGCAAUUGUUCCCCAUGAACGAGGAAUUCCCAGUAAGCGCGAGUCAUAAGCUCGCGUUGAUUACGUCCCUGCCCUUUGUACACACCGCCCGUCGCUACUACCGAUUGAAUGAUUUAGUGAGGUCUUCGGACUGGCGGUAAUCCCUA